GCAGCAUCACCACAUACCCUUCACUUUGCCUGAACAAACUAAUGCCUUAUGCGUCAUCGGUGAAAGCCAACUCCACAAAGCUCUGCAAAGAAGCCCUUAAUGUAGCAACAAAAGGUGCACGAGAUGCCUCUAUCAUUGUCUCGAAUCUGAAAAAACAGAAGGGAAUUUCAAAAUAUGAAGCCGCGGCUAUUAAAGACUGUAUAGAAGAUGUGAAGGAUGCAAUGUACGAAUUCAAGCGGGCUAUUGAGGCAAUGGGACAUCUGGGUGAUGGAGAUAAGGAAUUUCAAUUGUCUAAUGCAAAAACGUACGCAAGUGCAGCUAUAACAAACGCAGACUCGUGCACUGAUGGGGUCUCCGAUAACCGUAAAGUAAAUCCAAAAGUGAAGGAUGCGAUAAAUAGAAGUAUGGCGGUUAUUAUCAGACUUGGCAGCAAUGCCUUGUCACUCAUUAACCA
rnacentral:lncRNA from 1 species